GUCAAAUCAUCAUGCCCCUUAUGACCUGGGCUACACACGUGCUACAAUGGACGGUACAAACGGUUGCCAACCCGCGAGGGGGAGCUAAUCCGAUAAAGCCGGUCGUAGUCCGGAUCGCAGUCUGCAACUCGACUGCGUGAAGUCGGAAUCGCUAGUAAUCGCAGAUCAGCAUUGCUGCGGUGAAUACGUUCCCGGGUCUU
rnacentral:rRNA from 1 species